rnacentral:lncRNA from 1 species
UAAGUAUAAUAAAACAAUUUUUUUACAAAAUAACUCUCUAAAAUUUUAUAAUUUGUAAAAUAAGUCUGUCAAAUUUAUAUUGCAUGGCAAACUAAUCCUCUCGUUACCACAUAGGAGCCGCAUAAUAUUUUUUUCCAAAACUAGUAGUUUUGGUAUGGUUUUUUUCGAAACGGGUGAAUAGUUCACUGGAUUCUGAAAGUCUCUCAGGCCUUUUAAAGACGGUAAAUCAUUAACCGCAUUCAUUAAAACGGAGAAAAAAAAUAAAGUUGUUAGGAUUAUACGUGGAUUAUUAGAAUUUUUAUUUGAUUGUUAGAAUUUAUGAAUAUAUUAUUCCUAUUUUCAGAUUGUUAAAAUUAUAUGUGAUUUGUCGAAAUUUUUAUGUUGUCGUUAGGACUAUAUAUAUAGAAUACAGAAAGAAAUAGUAUAUAAGCAAAAGACGGUGAAUAGUAUACCGCUCUUGUGAAAAAUUAGAAAUGUAGCUGGAAAUUAGAAAAGCAGUGAAUUGUUCAUCGCUUUUAAGAGAAAAUUUCAACACCGCUUCUAUAUAGCCAAAAAAGAAUUA